GAUGAAGAACGCAGCGAAAUGCGAUAAGUAAUGUGAAUUGCAGAAUUCAGUGAAUCAUCGAAUCUUUGAACGCACAUUGCGCCCGCCAGUAUUCUGGCGGGCAUGCCUGUUCGAGCGUCAUUUCAACCAUCAAGCCCCAGGCUUGUGUUGGGGACCUGCGGCUGCCGCAGGCCCUGAAAACCAGUGGCGGGCUCGCUGUCACACCGGGCGUAGUAGAUUUUAUCUCGCUCAGGGCGUGCUGCGGGUUCCGGCCGUUAAAAAGCCUUUUUUACCCAAGGUUGACCUCGGAUCAGGUAGGAAGACCCGCUGAACUUAAGCAUAUCAAUAAGCGGAGGAA
rnacentral:misc_RNA from 1 species